AAAAAGAAAACACAAAUGAAUUGGGGAUUGUUUGGUUUCUUGUUGUCAUUGAUUGGGUGUUGGUAGUGUUCUUUUUUUUCUUUUUUUUUUUUCCUUUUCAGUAGCAUUU
rnacentral:ribozyme from 13 species